AACGCACCUUGCGCUCCUUGGUAUUCCUUGGAGCAUGCCUGUUUGAGUAUCAUGAAAUCUUCAAAAUCAAACUUUUUGUUAACUCAAUUAGUCUGAUUUUGGUAUUGGAGGUCUUUGCAGCUUCACACCUGCUCCUCUUUGUGUAUUAGCUGGAUCUCAGUGUUAUGCUUGGUUCCACUCAGCGUGAUAAAUUAUCUAUCGCUGAGGACACUGUAAAAAGUGGCCAAGGUAAAUGCAGAUGAACCGCUUCUAAUAGUCCAUUGACUUGGACACUAUUUUUAUGAUCUGAUCUCAAAUCAGGUAGGACUACCCGCUGAACUUAA
rnacentral:misc_RNA from 1 species